rnacentral:rRNA from 1 species
GGUUAAGCGACUAAGCGUACACGGUGGAUGCCCUGGCAGUCAGAGGCGAUGAAGGACGUGCUAAUCUGCGAAAAGCGUCGGUAAGGUGAUAUGAACCGUUAUAGCCGGCGAUGUCCGAAUGGGGAAACCCAGUGCAAUUCGUUGCACUAUCGUUAACUGAAUACAUAGGUUAACGAGGCGAACCGGGGGAACUGAAACAUCUAAGUACCCCGAGGAAAAGAAAUCAACCGAGAUUCCCCCAGUAGCGGCGAGCGAACGGGGAGCAGCCCGGAGUCUGAAUCAGCUUGUGUGUUAGUGGAAGCGUCUGGAAAGUCGCAGGGUACAGGGUGAUACUCCCGUACACUAAAACACACAGGCUGUGAACUCGAAGAGUAGGGCGGGACACGUGGUAUCCUGUCUGAAUAUGGGGGGACCAUCCUCCAAGGCUAAAUACUCCUGACUGACCGAUAGUGAACCAGUACCGUGAGGGAAAGGCGAAAAGAACCCCGGCGAGGGGAGUGAAAAAGAACCUGAAACCGUGUACGUACAAGCAGUAGGAGCCUCUUUAUGGGGUGACUGCGUACCUUUUGUAUAAUGGGUCAGCGACUUAUAUUCUGUAGCAAGGUUAACCGUAUAGGGGAGCCGCAGGGAAACCGAGUCUUAACUGGGCGUUAAGUUGCAGGGUAUAGACCCGAAACCCGGUGAUCUAGCCAUGGGCAGGUUGAAGGUUGGGUAACACUAACUGGAGGACCGAACCGACUAAUGUUGAAAAAUUAGCGGAUGACUUGUGGCUGGGGGUGAAAGGCCAAUCAAACCGGGAGAUAGCUGGUUCUCCCCGAAAGCUAUUUAGGUAGCGCCUCGUGAACUCAUCUUCGGGGGUAGAGCACUGUUUCGGCUAGGGGGUCAUCCCGACUUACCAACCCGAUGCAAACUACGAAUACCGAAGAAUGUUAUCACGGGAGACACACGGCGGGUGCUAACGUCCGUCGUGAAGAGGGAAACAACCCAGACCGCCAGCUAAGGUCCCAAAGUCAUGGUUAAGUGGGAAACGAUGUGGGAAGGCCCAGACAGCCAGGAUGUUGGCUUAGAAGCAGCCAUCAUUUAAAGAAAGCGUAAUAGCUCACUGGUCGAGUCGGCCUGCGCGGAAGAUGUAACGGGGCUAAACCAUGCACCGAAGCUGCGGCAGCGACACUAUGUGUUGUUGGGUAGGGGAGCGUUCUGUAAGCCGUUGAAGGUGGCCUGUGAGGGUUGCUGGAGGUAUCAGAAGUGCGAAUGCUGACAUAAGUAACGAUAAUGCGGGUGAAAAACCCGCACGCCGGAAGACCAAGGGUUCCUGUCCAACGUUAAUCGGGGCAGGGUGAGUCGACCCCUAAGGCGAGGCCGAAAGGCGUAGUCGAUGGGAAACAGGUUAAUAUUCCUGUACUCGGUGUUACUGCGAAGGGGGACGGAGAAGGCUAUGUUGGCCGGGCGACGGUUGUCCCGGUUUAAGCAUGUAGGCGGAUGUUCCAGGUAAAUCCGGAACGUUACUAACGCUGAGGUGUGAUGACGAGGCACUACGGUGCUGAAGUGACAAAUGCCCUGCUUCCAGGAAAAGCCUCUAAGCAUCAGGUAACAUCAAAUCGUACCCCAAACCGACACAGGUGGUCAGGUAGAGAAUACCAAGGCGCUUGAGAGAACUCGGGUGAAGGAACUAGGCAAAAUGGUGCCGUAACUUCGGGAGAAGGCACGCUGAUAUGUAGGUGAAGUGGUUUACCCAUGGAGCUGAAAUCAGUCGAAGAUACCAGCUGGCUGCAACUGUUUAUUAAAAACACAGCACUGUGCAAACACGAAAGUGGACGUAUACGGUGUGACGCCUGCCCGGUGCCGGAAGGUUAAUUGAUGGGGUUAUCCGUAAGGAGAAGCUCUUGAUCGAAGCCCCGGUAAACGGCGGCCGUAACUAUAACGGUCCUAAGGUAGCGAAAUUCCUUGUCGGGUAAGUUCCGACCUGCACGAAUGGCGUAAUGAUGGCCAGGCUGUCUCCACCCGAGACUCAGUGAAAUUGAACUCGCUGUGAAGAUGCAGUGUACCCGCGGCAAGACGGAAAGACCCCGUGAACCUUUACUAUAGCUUGACACUGAACACUGGUCCUUGAUGUGUAGGAUAGGUGGGAGGCUUUGAAGUGUGGACGCCAGUCUGCAUGGAGCCAUCCUUGAAAUACCACCCUUUAAUGGCUGGUGUUCUAACGUGGGCCCGUUAUCCGGGUUGCGGACAGUGUCUGGUGGGUAGUUUGACUGGGGCGGUCUCCUCCUAAAGAGUAACGGAGGAGCACGAAGGUCAGCUAAUCCUGGUCGGACAUCAGGAGGUUAGUGCAAUGGCAUAAGCUGGCUUGACUGCGAGCGUGACGGCGCGAGCAGGUGCGAAAGCAGGUCAUAGUGAUCCGGUGGUUCUGAAUGGAAGGGCCAUCGCUCAACGGAUAAAAGGUACUCCGGGGAUAACAGGCUGAUACCGCCCAAGAGUUCAUAUCGACGGCGGUGUUUGGCACCUCGAUGUCGGCUCAUCACAUCCUGGGGCUGAAGUAGGUCCCAAGGGUAUGGCUGUUCGCCAUUUAAAGUGGUACGCGAGCUGGGUUUAGAACGUCGUGAGACAGUUCGGUCCCUAUCUGCCGUGGGCGCUGGAGAAUUGAGGGGGCUGCUCCUAGUACGAGAGGACCGGAGUGGACGCAUCACUGGUGUUCGGGUUGUCAUGCCAAUGGCAUUGCCCGGUAGCUAAAUGCGGAAGAGAUAAGUGCUGAAAGCAUCUAAGCACGAAACUUGCCCCGAGAUGAGUUCUCCCUGACUCCUUGAGAGUCCUGAAGGAACGUUGAAGACGACGACGUUGAUAGGCCGGGUGUGUAAGCGCAGCGAUGCGUUGAGCUAACCGGUACUAAUGAACCGUGAGGCUUAACCUU